CAGCCCGGGGAACGGUCCGGGACCUGAGGUGGGGAGGAGGAGAUCCAGGAGUUCAUCACGACAUCACUAGAAACACGAGCGGAGGUGGAGGAAGUGACAGCUGCCGCAGGUGAUCUGUACCUGGAGGGAUGAACAGCGUUCCCCGCACGCCGCCCUCCCGCACGUCGAUCCUCUGGACGCCCGGCGCCACGUACCACCGCUCUGUGAGCGCCGAGGCCAGAGCGGCCCGCUCCCUGAAGCCCUCGUGUCCGUCGUGGACCGAGAUGUGGACCAGCAUCGGGGCGCAGACGUUCAUCUUCCUCAACCUGACGAGUGGGAGAAGAACGGGGAGAUUGGGAAAUCAACAAAACCCAAAGUGUGAAUAGAACUCACCGGACACGGUUCCUCGAUGGUCACUGACGUAGUGUCCGUACGCCUCCCAGUAGUCCUGGUCCUCGGAGCAGUGGAGGGCGUGGAGCGUCACGGGACGUCCCGGAGGCAGAUUCUCCACCGAAAUCUCGAACGUCUCGUCCGUCAGCGCCCGGGUCGGGUGGACGGAGAGGAGCGGGGGGGUGGCGGCCUGCGACAUGGUCGUCUGUGGAGAAACACAAAUGAUUGUCAAAUCAGGAACUGGGAAGACGAAGAAGAGGCGUCAUCUGUUCUCAUUGGCUGCAGCGGCUUUCGGCAAAAAGAAAAGGUUCCACAUGAAAACUUCAUAUCACUACCACCUGCAACGACAGAACGUCGCCAAUUUCUAUGCUGUUGCUUUUUUAAAGUUCCACAUAAUCCAUCUUAAUUAUACUUCCUGUUUACUUGUGCCCCUCACUUAUGAAUCCAGAUGUUCUUUUAAAUAACUUUGUAUGAACUUUGUGGCACCUGCAGAAGACGAGCUGGAGGAUAAUGGCAUGACGGCCCACGCAGGAAGCGGCCCACUCUGAUCUGCUUUGCUCUGAUCAGAUUACGUGGGUGUCUUUCCACUGGACUGUCUGUAGCUAGGCUAUAUAUAUAUACAUAUACAUGUGUAUGUAGGCUGUCAUAAAUAACAACCUGAUUGCUAUUUAUUGAAUCAAUAAACGAGGGUGACAUCAAAGAAAAAAAUUGCCCAUGGUUCUGGCAGCGUUUCCCUUUUAAUAGUUUUCAUAAAACUACUUUCAUAGCAGCAUUUCCCAACAACAAUGAACUAAUCUUUUUGUUCUUAAAAGAAAACUAAUUUUGUACGAAUUGAUGUUGUGCUUUUCAAUAACAGUCAAUCUACAUGAAGUUUGAUGUUUCCGGAGUUACAGUGUUUUUGUGUCCUGGACUGUUUUUACAUGAAACUUACCAGAGAUCAAGUGGCAGCGUCUUAUCAGCUUCUUCAGUCGAUUAUUAAACCUCCUGUUAAAUCUUUCAAAGUUCAGCGUUGGGCUGCUCUGUGAUGUAAUGAGACCCUCUGGUUCUGAUUAUCCUCCUCCUCUUCCUCCUCUUCCUCCUCUUCCUCCUCCUCCUCCUCUGCUGUCAGUCAGUCGGUCGGUCGGUCGGUCGGUCGUUCUCUUCGACCCCUCGACCUCGUCAUUUAAACUCACAGUGACUCACAAAAGGCCUCAAAACACCGUUAACGGGGACUUCUCCCAGAUGUGAGCGUCGUACUCAACAUCAGCCCCGCGUUUCUGCGGCCCUCUCCAAUUUUUUUGGCAUUUUUUAAAUUCCAACUGAAGAGCGUAUCUGUGACGGAGCACCGCUCGUAUUUCUUCAUGUCCCUGGGGCACGUUUUGAUGAAAACUUACAUCACUUGGAAGUGUAAAUAUGACUGAUGUGCACAAAAUUGCUUUUUUUUUAAUAAAGUAUACCGAUAUGGUGCUUCUUGUAUAGAUUGUAUCAACCCAAGUCCUUUGUAAUGUUUCCAUUUUUAGUAAAUCCUAACUAAAGAUCAUCUUACCAUCUUGUUAACAGGAUUUCCUGUAUAUAUCCAUAUGUUUAUAAAAUGCAAACGUCCUACUUUUUUCCCAUAAAGAAAGUAAUUAUUGCAAUUCUGUUGAUGUGUCACUGAUAAGAUAAACUCUGCUGUGGUCGACCCCUCGGCCCUGCAAAAAGGAAACCACUUCCUGAAUGCUCCAUUUUGCACGUACGGGACAUUUGGGAGAUGUUUUUUUGUUUAUGCAUUUGUUCCUUCAACAUAAAAUCUACCUGCUUGAU